GACGAACCGUGCGAACGUUAUUCGGAAUCAUUGGGCUUAAAGCGCGUGUAGGCGGGUCGGCGCAUCGGACGCUGAAAGCCCCCGGCUCAACCGGGGAACGGGGCUGUGAACUGGGCUUCUUGAGGGCGAUAGAGGAGAGCGGAAUUCCUGGUGUAGCGGUGAAAUGCGUAGAUAUCAGGAGGAACACCCAUGGCGAAGGCAGCUCUCUGGGUCGGCCCUGACGCUGAGGCGCGAAAGCGUGGGGAGCGAACGGG
rnacentral:rRNA from 1 species